GGGUACGAUCAUACCAGCGUUAAUUCAUCGGAUCCUAUCAGAACUUCGCAGUUAAGCGCACUUGUGCUAGAGUAGUACUGCGAUGGGUGACCUCCUGGGAAGUCCUAGUGUUGCACCCU
rnacentral:rRNA from 1 species